GAGGAAUGCUGGCUGUAUGGAUAAGGCAUGCAAGUCGAACGGACCGCAAGGUCAGUGGCAGACGAGGUAGUAACACGUAGGUACGUACUCCCAAGUCCGGUAUAGCUCGUCGAAAGACGGGGUAAUCCCGGAUGGUCCCGCAAGGGUAAAGAUUUAUCGCCUUUAGAGCGGCCCGCGUCUGAUUAGCUAGUUGGUGAGGUAAUGGCUCACCAAGGCUACGAUCAGUAGCUGGUCUGAGAGGAUGACCAGCCACAUUGGGACUGAGACACGGCCCAAACUCCUACGGGAGGCAGCAGUGGGGAAUCUUGCGCAAUGGGCGAAAGCCUGACGCAGCCAUGCCGCGUGGAUGAUGAAGGUCUUAGGAUUGUAGAAUCCUUUCACCGGUGAAGAUAAUGACUGUAGCCGGAGAAGAAGCCCCGGCUAACUUCGUGCCAGCCGCCGCCGUAACAC
rnacentral:rRNA from 1 species